UACGGGGGGGGCAAGCGUUGUUCGGAAUUACUGAGCGUAAAGGGCUCGUAGGCGGCCAACUAAGUCGGACGUGAAAUCCCCAGGCUCAACCUGGGAACUGCGUCCGAUACUGGAUGGCUUGAAUCCGGGAGAGGGAUGCAGAAUUCCAGGUGUAGCGGUGAAAUGCGUAGAUAUCUGGAGGAAUACCGGUGGCGAAGGCGGCAUCCUGGACCGGCAUUGACGCUGAGGAGCGAAAGCCAGGGGAGCAAACGGG
rnacentral:rRNA from 1 species